GAUGUAUUCGUACACUUCUCUGCAAUUCAAAGCGAAGGCUUCAAGACUUUAGACGAAGGUCAAAAAGUAACAUU
rnacentral:misc_RNA from 1 species